rnacentral:lncRNA from 1 species
AUAUAUAUAUAUAUGGUUGCAUUCAAUGGAGACCACUCCCUUAGAUAAAGAAUAAAGACUAAAUCAAUGCCAUUCAUCUUUCUCCAAUCAACGGUUCAUAUAAUUUCCUGAUUUGAUUUUUCAUGUAAUUAAAUAUUGGUUAAUUAUAUUUAUUUAAUCCGAAAAGGGCAAAUAUGUCCACUCAAAUCCUCUGAAAUCUCGGAUCACAUUGAAAAAAUUCCGAAAAUUCUUGUCUUCCCAUUCUGAGACCUGAUCCGUCAAUGGACAUAAUAGGUGAACAUUAGAAUGUUCGUUUAUUUUUCUACGAACAUAUCAACGAACAUUAGUAUGUUUAUUAGUAUUUUCUACGAAC